rnacentral:lncRNA from 1 species
UAUUUUUUUACUAAUUUUUUACGGGGACAUCCAAAUUGACAAUAGAUAUCACUAAAUAUAAUUUACGAUAUAAUUUAGUAAUAAACCAGUCUCAAAUAUAUUUUAUAUUGAGUAUAGGAAUCAUGUGUAAGAGUACAGAUAGUCAAUUCAAAUGUCAUAUCAUUAGAAAUGAACCGAAGUAAAAGUUCACUUUUACUGCACAUUUGGUGCGAAUUAUGUGAUAUUACAGAUUAUUUCGAUAUAUCCAGAUAUCUUGAAUUUCUAAAUGGGGUUACUACUAAUGCUACAAUAGCGCGUUUGGCUUAAUGCGGAAAUGUAAUGCUGGAUUGCGGUGCUUAUAUUAUUAAUAUAUUUGGUUCAGUUUAUAAAUUCAGUAAUAUUUAUAAUAUAUAAAGGAUUAAUUGCAUACAAGUCUCCGCAAACAUGAUGAAUUGCAGAUAUAUUUCUAUAAAGUUCAACAUUCAUAAGUUAUCCCUGCAAAAAGUUCUAAUGUAUUCAGAUAUGUUUCUACCGUUAGAAUCUGUUAAAGAAAUUUAGUUAAUCACAGUUAAAAUACUUAACCAUGAUUAAUUAAUAAAGUGAAUUGACAAUUUUGUCUUUCUUCUUUUCCCUCUUCUUCUUCAUCUUUAUCUUUAUCUUCAUCAUUUUCUUCUUCCUUUUCCUCUUCCUCUUCUGCUUCUUCUUCUUUCUCUUCUUCUUCGUACCAUCCUUUUCCUCCUCCUUUUCUCCUCCUUCUUUUUCUUCAUCGUCGUUGUCGAUGAUCCGAUCGUUGUGCACGCGUGGGCCGUCGUCACGAGCACUUCCGAAUCGGCCGCACCUUCGCUUUGGGCCUCGUCGCUGCGGGCCUCAGCCUCAUCCUCGUCGGCUGCAUCUCCGACAAGCUCCGCGAUGUCACCGCCGCUGCCGCCGUCCACUCCCGCAGCCCAAAAAGAAAGAGAAACAGGAAAAUGGACAUUUGUGAGGACAUUUCUGCAAAUGUAUACCAACUGAAAUUCAGCUCAUGUUCAUCUCAUUUAUUAACGAGUCAAAUACGAAUUGGCUCACGAAUAAUAAGUUAAAAAAUUAAAAACGAUAUAUAUAUAUAUAUAUAUAUAUAAAGUGAGACUACUAUGCUAUCGGAAGCACGGAGCCUUCCGUGCUUCCAGCUCGUUUUCGAUGUUGCGAUUUUCGAAUCGUCGAUCGGCUCCGUUAAACUUGAUCUAGAGUAUUUGGAGUACCUAGAAAAUAAAUUUUAUUAUUUUUCGAUAUCAUUUGCCUAGUGAUCGAAUGGGCUCAAAAUCAACAAAUUUCAAUGGCCGUAGUGAGCCGUUUGCAAGUUUAACGGUGUAGAAAUAUCCAAAUCACGUGAAAUUUUGAUAGAAAAUUCUUUAUACUAUAUAAAACAAGAUCAAUAUCUUUGAUUUAAAAUUUUAAUGUCAUAUUAUUACAUUUUGUAAGAUUUUUAUUUUCAGCCGUUGAUUUUGAGCCCCUUCGUUCACUAGGCAAAUGAUAUCGUAAAAUCAUAAAAUUUAUUUUCUAGGUACUUCAAAUACUCUAGAUCAAGUUUAACGGAGCCGAUCGACGAUUCGAAAGUCGCAACAUCGAAAACGAGUUAGAAGCACGGAAGGCUCCGUGCUUCCGAUAGCAUAGUAGCCUCACUCUAUAUAUAUAUAUAUAUAUAUAUAUAUAUAUAAUUAGGCAACUGUACUAUCUAUAGUACCGGAGCUCCAGUACUAUAGUCUUAUUUUCGAUCUUAGGGUGUUCAAAUUAACGAUCCACACCGUUAAAUAUGAUUUAGAGUAUAUGAAGUUCUUAGGAAUAAAAUUUUAGUUUUUUUCGACAUCAUUUACUUAGCAAAUAAAUUAUGUUAAAAUGGAUGGUGGAAAUUGAAUAAUCUUUAAAAUUUGAGCAUAGGACUUUUAAAUUCAAGAUCAAGAAUGUUAACCUUAAUCUAGAUAGUUUAAAGUAUUUUCUAUCAAAAUUUGAAGAAAUUUAGAUUCUUCUACAUUUGUUAACUCCAAAAUCUCACAUAGUAGCCAUUGAAAAUUCACAAUUUUGAAAUUGUUUGAUCAUAAAGUAAAUUAUAUCGAAAAAAUAUAAAAUUUUAUUUUUAAAAACUUUAAAUACCC